rnacentral:rRNA from 1 species
CCUACGGGAGGCAGCAGUGGGGAAUAUUGGGCAAUGGAGGCAACUCUUACCCAGCAAUGCCGCGUGAAUGAAGAAGGUCUUCGGAUUGUAAAGUUCUUUAAUUGGGGACGAAAAAAAUGACGGUACCCAAGGAAUAAGCCCCGGCUAACUACGUGCCAGCAGCCGCGGUAAUACGGAGGAUGCGAGCGUUAUCCGGAUUUAUUGGGUUUAAAGGGUGCGUAGGCGGGCUUUUAAGUCAGCGGUAAAAAUUCGGGGCUCAACCCCGUCCGGCCGUUGAAACUGGGGGCCUUGAGUGGGCGAGAAGAAGGCGGAAUGCGUGGUGUAGCGGUGAAAUGCAUAGAUAUCACGCAGAACCCCGAUUGCGAAGGCAGCCUUCCGGCGCCCUACUGACGCUGAGGCACGAAAGUGCGGGGAUCGAACAGGAUUAGAUACCCGGGUAGUC